CCCAUGUAAUAGCCCCGUGACCCCUUGAGGGGUCUGAACCCCCAGUUUGGGAGCCCCUGUUGUAAUUCCACUAGCUUCAUCCUAGUUACUCCUGAUUUUGGCUCUGAUUUUGAAAAGCACAUAAACCUUUAAACUAGGUUUAUUCAAUGGGGCUGUAACAGAUGCUUAUAGGUAAUCACAUGCAUAAGUGCCCUUCCUGACUAGAGAUUGCUUUUUGAGUCAGGCCGUGACAUUGGAGGAGGUGAGGUCAGGGAAUCAGAGUCACCACAUUCAACUGAAGCUGCAGGUGGAAUUUAGCCUGCAGAAGCCAAAUGGUGCAGCAAUUGACAAGAGCAGAGGCUGUGCCCAUCCCCAUAAUGCUAAACAAGGAGAGGUCCCUGCUAGAACCUGGCUAGUGAGCCCACUAUGCUUGAGAAGCACCUUACUUAACCCUCAGCCCACAGAAGUGAAAUAAAGGAGGGACUGAAUAUAAACAAAAGGGAGUCCUAUAUCUUGUGCCACGCACUUUGAAAUGACAACAGUUUUUGGAGAGCUGGAGGAGGCAACGUGCUCUGGAAGAGAUGAACUACCCUUUUUUCUGCUUUUAAUAGAUGAUGUUUUGGUGGGCUAUAUUUAAGCUCUACUGCAUAAUAUAAGCAUCAUGAAAUUACAGGCUUCUCCAGGUUCUACAGAUGUAGCCAUUGCUGUAAAAAUACCUAUUAGCCAAUAAACACAGCUAUC